UACGAAGGGGGCUAGCGUUGUUCGGAAUCACUGGGCGUAAAGCGCACGCAGGCGGAUUGAUAACUCAGGGGUGAAAUCCCGGAGCUCAACUUCGGAAUUGCCUUUGAUACUGUCUGUCUUGAGUCCGGGAGAGGUGAGUGGAAUUCCUAGUGUAGAGGUGAAAUUCGUAGAUAUUAGGAAGAACACCAGUGGCGAAGGCGGCUCACUGGCCCGGUACUGACGCUCAUGUGCGAAAGCGUGGGGAGCAAACAGG
rnacentral:rRNA from 1 species